rnacentral:tRNA from 1 species
CAGGGCGUGGUCUAGCAGCUAUGACGCCGCUUUCGGGAAGCGGAAAUCGAGAGUGCAAUUCUCUCCGCCCUGA